UACGGAGGAUGCAAGCGUUAUCCGGAAUGAUUGGGCGUAAAGCGUCCGCAGGUGGCUAUGUAAGUCUGCUGUUAAAGAGUCUAGCUCAACUAGAUAAGAGCAGUGGAAACUGCAAGGCUAGAGUACGUUCGGGGCAGAGGGAAUUCCUGGUGUAGCGGUGAAAUGCGUAGAGAUCAGGAAGAACACCAGUGGCGAAGGCGCUCUGCUAGGCCGUAACUGACACUGAGGGACGAAAGCUAGGGGAGCGAAUGGG
rnacentral:rRNA from 1 species